rnacentral:lncRNA from 1 species
GCCUCCCUCCCCCACGCUGGGAGCCAGCUGGGGGCUUCCCGCGCGCUUUCCCGCCAGCUCGCCGCGGCGCGCGCCUCAGUUCGGGGGCGCGCACGUGGGCGGGAGAGGGCUCCGCGCCGACGCACGCGCACAGGCCACCCCCGCCUUCUGCCUGCCUUUGCGGCUGCAGUUUCUGUUUCAGCCUUGGCCCAAGACGUGAUCUAAUUCUCAUGCUGCUGUGGGCAGAGCACAUGGCAUCAGAAUGCUGGGAGCUGCUGUCUGUCGCCAUUGGAGGGAAUUCCCCAGCUCAGGAAAACUCUUCCAGCGGAAGGGAGCAGGUGGCGAGCCUCCCUGAAGAGACAGACGCUGCCAACGCUGCAGGCAGAGCCAAUCGUGUGGUGGCUAACAGAUUUUUCCAGCAACACAGAGCCGAGAGGAUUAGAAUCUGGGAGAAGAAAGAGCUCUGCAUUCUUGGCUUCACCUGCCUGGAGUGGAGUUUCCAUCAUGCUGAGCUGGAGGUGCACGGGGCCAGGGAAGGAGUAAGUUCUAGCUCAAGUGUCCCAGACUCUUACUAUUCUUACUGAAAUUGAGUAGAUUUUCUUGAAUAAAUGUUCCUUCAUCUGCUGUAGACUCUUAGGAAAAUUCCCAGGAACAUACGUCUAUCUUGAUAUUAAUGUAGAUAUAAAUAAUUAUGUAUGUAUAAUUUUUUAGCGGUUUUACUUGUUCUGCUGGGGAGAAGGUCUGAAAGGUUUGCAGAGCUGCUCAUGC